AUUUGGAGUUGUUCUGGCUAAUGUCAAAGACCACACACAAGGACAUGGACGUCAACGGUUCAUUCACAUGAGAUGACAGUUACCCAGGAUGAACCAACUGCAAAAAGCUGUCUGUGGAUGGUAACUGCAGGUGACCUGAAUGCAUGUGCCUCCUCCUUCUUUUUCCGCUUUUUGUCUUUUCCUUAAGCCUCUCUGAACAGUAUCUUCAGAAGUGUCUGUUUCCCACAGAGCAUGGUGUGUCCAAGAAAUACCCCACAUUCCCAUUGCCUUUGCUAUUUAAUGCUGUAGUUGGGAGAGGCAGUCUUGCUUUCUGCUUGCCUGUCUUUUUGGAGCACAUAUGAACUACAAAUAGAUACAGCCCACAUUUUGCCUCAAAGAUAUAUUCUUUGUUUUCUCCAAGUUGCCAAGUUGAACUCUAAGCUGAUGUUUAAUUUAUCUGUGGUAAUGAGGAACGGGGAUAGCCUUGCAUAAUUGGAAUCUGAAGAUAAGCCAAAAGCUUCUUUUAGCCAAAAUUCCUACAUCCUUUCCCACCAACUCUUUAUGCCUGUGUUGCUAACAAAUGGCAAAUUGACUAAUCUGAGUUUCACCAGUUCUUUGUGUGGUGUAUCUGACCUUUCACAAUGGGUUCAUACCAGAGUCCACUUCCAUGGUCCUUCAAGAUGUGGGUGUCUGGUUCUCAGGUAACCAACCAAAACCUUUGUACCUACCACUCAUGUAUAUUUCAGUUGAAGUUAGAAAAGCACCCCCUCAGUCUAUAGCUAACCUCUGGUGAAAUUGAGGAAUGAAUGAAUUGCUAAGCCAUCUAUAAAUAGAAUUCCGGGACAAUUCAUCUGAUGUGAGAGACAACCCUUUGAUAGGUUUCUGAGAAGAUGUGUGAAGCCACUACUCUCAAUUGUUCUUUCAUUUACUUUUUGCUAAUCAAAGCCCCAGACAUAUUCCAAAAUGUGAGAUGUUUUGGAAGAUUAACCAAAACACAAGCUGAAAUUUACCAGGGGCUCUGUAUAAAGUUAUACCCUUAGGCUUUUAUUCUCAAAGCCCUCCCAAGUACAGAAGUGUAGCAUGGGAUGAUGUGACAUAGAAUCGCAGAGUGGGAGGAGCCCACCAUACUUCAAUUCAGUGUAUCCAGAAGGAAAACUAAGGUUCACAGACUUGCUUAGGGGCUUAGUCAAGGGACUAUUUGUUCAGAACCAACAUUCAUACAAAGAGUCUUAAAUUUAAAAGGGGAUUUAUUUCAGAGAAACCUCAUGGAAACCAGUUGAAAGAGGGUUAGUGGGGACUUUCGGGAAGUGAAAAGUCGCUGGUUAAUUUCUCUGUUUCUAUCUCUGUGGGGCCUUGCAGAUUCUUUUCUUUGCUUCCGGGAGCCUUCUUCAUAUCUGCAGUGGAUAUGAGGUGAUAUGGUUUGGCUCUGUUCCCCACCCAAAUCUCAUCUCGAAUUGUAAUCCUACGAUCGCCACGUGUCAAGGGCAGAAACUGGUAGGAGGUGAUUGGAUCGUGGGGGCAGUGUGCUGUUCUCGUGAUAGUGAGUGAGUUCUCACGAGAUCUGAUGAUUUUAUAAAGGGCUCUUCCCCUUUCGCCAUUCACUCUGUCCUGCUGCCUUGUGAAGAAGGUGUCUGCUUCCUCUUCACCUUCUGCCAUGAUUGUCAGUUUCCUGAGGCCUUCCCAGCCAUGCUGAACUGUGAGUCAAUGAAACCUCUUUCCUUUAUAAAUUACCCAGUCUCGGGUAUUUCUUUAGAGCAGUGUGAGAAUGGACUAACACGAGGCUUCGCUGGUCUCUCAUGACCAACCCAAAAGGCAAGGUCAGCUUCCAUGUCUCAAUGGCCUUCCAGUGAGGCCCCUCACAGCUAACUGACCAGGGCAGGGGUCUCCUUGGUCCAGCUGAGAUCAGGGCCUGGCUCCGGCCCAUGCCUGUGGUAAGAGUGGGACUAUCCCUUGUGGAGCUGACAAGGGCUGACUCUCUGUAAGGGUGGCUAAGGCACUACUGGCCACUCUGGUGCCCCAGGAUGGCACAGGCAGGUCAGAACCUGGCUGUCACUCCAGGCCAGCCUUCUGCCACUGACUGGAAAGGUGGGCUCAAACACAACUGCAGUUAAAAGAGAGGAAUUGCCCCGGAGGUGAAUGCAGUCACCUGCAUAGGGGAAAAGGAGGUGAGAGGCCUGCUCUACUCCCCCUGAUCAGAUGCCAUCCAAGGGCACAUGGCUGACAUGUUUGAAGAAAAACCCAGAGUCAACUCAGAGCCCAACUCAGGCCUGAUAAAAAGUGACUAUGAUGAUGAAGAGAUUCAAAAUUAUGCUGCAGAAGGAAUGGCUGGAGGGUCUAGGCGUAUUUCACCUGGAAAGAGGAAGCUUUAAAGGAGAUGGUCACCAUCUGCUGGAGCGGCCAGUGGGGCUGCAGGUUACCCAUCAAAGCCCAAGCUAUGAAAUUGUCAUUGAGAGGAGUGCUUUAGACAUAGAGCUCAUUUGGUGGCAGAGAUCAGAAGCUUGUUCAAAGCAGCCUGGAAUUUUUAAAAGAAUAAGGGAAACAUGUAAAGGUAUGCAUUUUUAAGGUUUAAAGUGGUUUUGCAGAAACUCAAGAAAAGCUGAACAUCAGGAGUGAGGGGGGACAGAAGUUAAAGCCACAAGAGUUCACCAGUCUUUCUACUAGCGUGCUACUAUCCAUGUGACUCAGCUCUUAUCCUCAGGGCUGCUGCUUAUUCCCUCUCCUUGUGUCUCUUCACUCGAAACCCAGGAGAGGACUGUGAUUGCUAGCUAGUUGAUAGAUUGGCUGGUUGGAUCUCUUUUUUUUGAGACAGAGUCUCACUCUGUCACCAGGUUGGAGUGCAGUGGCACGAUCUCGGCUCACUGCAACCUCUGCCUCCCAGGUUCAAGUGAUUCUCCUGUCUCAGCCUCCCAAGUAGCUGGGACUACAGGCGCACGCCACCAUGCCCAGCUAACUUUUGUAUUUUUAGUAGAAAUGGGGUUUCACCAUGUGGCCAGGAUGGUCUCGAUCUCUUGACCUCAUGAUCUGCCUGCCUCGGCCUCCCAAACUGCUGGGAUUACAGGCGUGAGCCACCGCGCCUGGCCAGCUGGUUGGAUCUCUUACCCAUCCCCAGACUAAUAAACCCUAGGCUUCAGGGCCUGAUUAUCCAGGGCUGUACCUAGAGCAAGUUAAGCUAGAAAGAGAAAUUGGGCUUGGCAGAAACGUUGACCAAAUCCUUCAAUACUGAGGACAACCAAGAGUACUGAGUAACCCAGCAGGAUGUGCACCCAACCAGUCCAUACUAAUUUGGGGUCAUUCAUACCUUUGCAGUUUUAACUCCUUUUCUCUUCCUCCACUUGCUUUUCUCUUUAUAUCAACAAAAUCUUAUUGCUCCUUAUUGGUUCAAUCAUCCCAAAAUACAUCAGUAUAAUAUAUAUAAUUACUAAUAUACAGUUGUUAGUGAGUGAAUUAAUUAGAAUGAAUAAUCAAGGUUUGAUGUUCAAUGAGUUUGUAAUACCUAAACCAGAGUUUAGGUAGGUAUUAUAUACAUUAUUUACCUAAACUCUGGUAUUAUAUACAGGCUCUUGGGCUAGCAGGCAUACUGAUGUAUUCUGGGAUCAUUGAACAUCAAGCGUUGAUUAUUCAUUCUAAUUAAUGCACUCAUUAGUAAUUGUAACAAAUAAUUAUUAAGUGCUGAAUUAUGAGCAUAGCUCUCUUCUAGAAAAACGGAGGAAUAAUCUGUGGUUUAUGUCCUCAGGCAGCUUGCAGUCUAUCUGAGAAAACAAGACAUACCCUCAAGCAGAUAAUUGCCAUUUACAGUCAUUCCUAUGAUCUCAGCACUAUGUGGGUUUAAUCAGCCUUCUGCUAAAAGGAACCAGGUCCAAGACAUUCAGCAUGGCAUGGUAGCUAAGCAAGAUCCAGUGUCUUCAUUCAGCACUGACAGAGUCACUGUCUCUGAGCAGUACUUAGCUACAGAAACUUUGAAGCCUUCUGCAAUUUAUUAUGCUGAGUGCAUCUAAUCAACAUGUAGAAUAAAGAUGGAGCUCCAGAGAAGUUAGCACGCAAUCUGGGUGACAGGUGCUGAGCAAGGACAGCCUCUUCCCAAUACUCUCCAAGCGGCCUGCUGUUUCCAGGGAAUGAUAUUAUCAUUCUUGGCAUCUAGAACAGGACUCAAUGUAAGAUUGUCUAAGGCAGUCACUGGCUACAGUUCAUGGAAGCUUCAGGACGGCACUUGGCAUGAGCUCUCAGUGCUAUGGAAAAAAGAAGCUCUUAGGUGGAAUAUUUCUAGCUAAAAAAUGUAUAGUUUUUUUUGUUGUUGUUUCUGUUCCUUUCAUUUUUAUUUUUAGAAAUAGGAUUUCAAAGGGCAUUUGUCCUGGUCCCUCAGGAAAGAACAUUUUCUAAAGUGUUCCCAUCAACAAUGCCUCAGGUGUUACAGGUCCCUACUCUUGGCCAUCCAGCUCUGCCACCGUGCCUGGAUUCUGCAUUUUCAAAGGGACCAGCUUACCAGCAGCAUCCUCUUCCUGCUGCCUCUUGACUCACACAGAUCCCAUCAAUAAGCAUUCACUGAGGCCUGCUCUAAGUGAGGCUCUGGGGAGAGUGCUGUGGGAGCUUCAAGAGCAAUAGCAGCCCUGAGCUCCAGGAGCUUCCCCUCUGAGGUGGGGAAUUGCGAUGCAUGGAACAUCUCCAACACACAAAGCAGACUCUUGCUAGGCUUCGAACUGGAAUUGCAUUGAUCGUAUUAACUUGGGGGAGAUCUGAUAUAUUUAAAAGAAAAAAAUAAGCCGGGCAUGGCGGCUCACGUCUGUAAUCCCAGCACUUGGGGAGACUGAGGUAGGUGGAUCAUUUGAGGUCAGGAGUUUGAGACCAGCCUGGCCAACAUGGUGAGACCCCGUCUCUACUAAAAAUACAAAAAUUAGCCGGGCGUGGUGGGUGCCUGUAAGCCCAGCUACGUGGGAGGCUGAGGCAGGAGAAUCGCUUGAACUUGAGAGAUGGAGGCUGCAGUGAGCUGAGAUCAUGCCACUGCACUUCAGCCUGGGUGACAGAGUGAGACUCUGUCUCAAAAAAGAAAAAAAAAAAAAAAGAAAAAAAUAUAGGCGAUGGAACAGAAAAGUGGGCAGUGGCUAUGAAGAUGCAAUCCAAAUAUAAGGUAAUACUUAUCACCAAAGAAAUAGCAAUUAAGACAACAGUGAGACAGCAUCUUGUGUCUGUCAGAUUGGAGGAAAAAUACUAAAUUGAAUAAUGUGAAUUGUUGUUGAGGAUUGUGGAACUAGCCUUCCAUGAAACGUUUCUAGAAGUCUAAAUGAGUGUAGACACUCCAGAGAGCAAUCUGGCGGUAUUUAGCAAUCCCAUACCUGGGCAUAUAACUUGGACAAACUCUGAUUAUAACAGACUAGGCCCAAGGAUAUGUUUAUUGCAGUAUUAUUGGUGGUAGUGAUGAGUUGGAGGCAAUAUAAGUUUCUACCACAAGGAGGGUUGAUAUGAGCGUUUGAUGAAUAGUAUGCAGUAGUCAGAAUAAUAAAACAGAUGUACACUCAGCAUGGAGAAAUCUGAAUAAGAUACUGUUGGCUGAUGACAGUAAGACAUGGAUUGAGAUAUAUAGUAGAGUGUCAUUUAUAUAAAUUCAAAACACGUGCACAAGAUGAUCAUGUCUCUAGUAGCUACAAAAGUGCUUGAUACAGAGUAGGCCUUCAGUAAAUUGUUUUACUUGUUGUCAAUAAAAAUAUAUAUACUAAAUAAAUAUCUAACAUUUAUGUAAGUUAAGAAUACAUAGACAUAUACAUAUUUUAAGGGUAUAUACAAAUGCGAAACAUAAUUUAAGGGUACGGCUCUUCUGGAUAGUCCAGCGUUCAAAUGGAGUUCUCUGGAGUGAAGUAAAAUUAAUUCACAAACCUCUGUUGCAUCCAAGGUCAAAUACUCUCACGAACACCCACUCUCUGUUCCCUGGUUUAAUACUCACUGAGUAACAUUCUGAAGCCUGAGACUUUUAUACAUACCCAGUUUCCAGAAAAGGCACAAAGAAGCUUUCCCCAAAAGAAAAUACAUGAAUAUUCCAUUUAUUUAAAAACAUCCGAGCAGGUCUAAGCAAUAUAAAUUAAUAUAGCAGCAUCAGUGUCUUGUGAGUUAAGACGAGUGUCCUAAGAUUUAGUUGCUUAACUGAUUCCUCUAUGUCCCUAAAUCAAAUGAUGAAAUACAGAUUUAGGUUCCAUUUUUUUGAAAGAAUACUUCAUAGGUCAUUCUGUCUACUUCCUACUGCACCACAUUUAGGAGGGAGGCACAUCAUGUGUGGUUGUCUCUUUAGUAAUUCUGAGAUUGGUCAAGGGGUCCAGGUGGUGUCUGACCUUAUUCCAUCAUUACAAAAGAAGUCACCAUCUACUUUUUACCUAGUGGUUUCAGUAUCUUUGGAUAAUCACUGCCCGGAUUUAUCAAGGUUUGCAAAAUGAUUUUCUAAUUCUGUGGUUCCUUCUAUACACAUUAGCUGGGAUUCUUCAAAAUGUAACUUACAAAACAAACAAAAUCACUAUCAAGACUUGACAUUCCUUCUUCCAUAUCAAUUUUCAGAAUAGUGAUAAAAGUUACCAGUAAUGAUUUCUAGUGGAGACCAAUAUGUUUUUCUCAUCAUUAUAUACUUUUUUUUUUUUUUGAGACAGAGUCUUGCUCUGUCACCAGGCUAGAGUGCAGUGGUGUGAUCUCUGCUCACUGCAACUUCCGCAUCCUGGGUUCAAGCAAUUCUCCUGCCUCAGCCUCCCAAGUAGCUGGGACUACAGGUGCACACCACCACGCCCAGCUGAUUUUUGUAGUUUUAGUAGAGACAGGGUUUCACCAUAUUGGCCAGGAUGGUCUCGAUCUCUUGACCUCGUGACCUGCCCACCUCAGCCUCCCAAAGUGCUGGGAUUACAGGCAUGAGCCACUGCGCCCAGCCCAUAAAUUUUUAUAUAUUUGAUGAGGUUGAAUUAAUUGCCAUCAUUAUUCUCUUUUCUCUCUCUCUUUAGGAUCCUUAAACAGCUUAUAUUCAAUAAACUGCAUAUGUUUAAAUGGCACACUUUGUAAAGUUUGGUGAUACUGUACAGUCACAAAAGCAUAAUCAAUGUAGCAAACAUAUCUAUUGUAAUCUAAAAUGUCCUUGUGCCUUUUUUAACCUCCUGCUCCUCCUCCAUACUAUAUCCCCAGGCGACCUCUGAUUUACUUUAUGUUGGAAUUUUUGAGAAAUUCAUACAAAUGGCAUUAUUUAGUAUGUACUCUUUGUGUCUGACUGCUUUUACUCAGCAUAAUUAUUUUGAGAUUCAACAUGUUGUCUGUAUCAAUACCUUUAAUUGUCAAGUGGUAUGCUAUUGUAUGACUAUGUCACAAUUGUUUAGCCAUCGAUGAACAUUUGGGUCGUUUCCAGUUUGGGGUUACUACAAAUAAAGCUGCUAAGAACAUUUUUAUAUAAAUCUUUGUGCAGACAUAGAUUUUAUUUCUAUGGGAUAAAUACCUACUAGUGGAAAGGCUACAUCAGAUAGUAGGGUAUAUACUUAACUUUUCAAAAAAAACUGCAAAUGUGCUUUCCAUAGAAGUGCUAUUGCACAUUUCUCCUGAGCAUGAGAAUUUCAAUUCUUCCCCAUUCUCUCCAAUAUUUAGUAUGGUCAGACCUUAUAAUUUUAUCCAUUUUAAUAGGAGUAUAUUAUGGUUUGAAUGUGUCCCCUCCAAAAUUCAGGUGUUGACAUUUAAUGGCCAAUGUGAUAGUAUCAAGAGAUAGGACCUUUAAGAGGUGGUUAGGUCCUGAGGACUCCUCACUCAUGAAUGGGAUUAAGAGAUUUCGUGCAGCUUUUGACUCCCUUGCCCUUUCACCUUUCACCAUGUGAGGACACAGUGUUCCUCCCCUCCAGAGGACGCCACAACUGGGCGCCAUCUGGGAAGCAGAGGGCAGUCCUCAAUAGACAAAGGAACCUGCCAGCAUCUUGAUCUGGGACCUUGCAGCCUCCAGAAACUAUGAGAAAUACAUUUUUGUUCUUUGAUAAAUUACCCAGUCUUCUGUAUUUUGUUAUGGCAGCACAAAAAGAACUGUGACACUGUGUACAUGUACUUAAUCGUGGUUUUACAGCAGUCUCCCUUUCUCUGCUGUUUCACUUUUUUGUUGUUUGUUUGUUUUGAGAUGGAGUCUCGUUCUUGUCGCCCAGUCUGGAGUGCAAUGGCGUGAUCUCGGCUCACCGCAACCUGUCCUCCUGGGUUCAAGCAAUUCUUCUGCCUCAGCCUCCGAAGUAGCUAGGCUUACAGACACGUGCCACCACACCCUGCCAAUUUUUGUAUUUUUAGUAGACAGGCUGUUAGGCAGGCUGGUCUUGAACUCCUAACCUCAGGUGAUCCGCCCACCUUGGCCUCCCAAAGUGCUGGGAUUACAGGCAUGAGCCACCGCACCCAGCAUGCUGAUUCACUUUCUGCAGUUUCAGUUACCCACAGUCAACCAUGGGCCAGAACAUAGUUACACUGCCACAAGUUGUGGAUGGGAGGGCUGGAUUUCCUGAACCCUUCCCAGCAUUGCUCGAGUUUCUUGGUUCCUCCGCUAGAGAAGAGGAGCCCCAGAGCUCUGUAGGCUCCAGAUGAAGUGACCACUUCUUAGCACCUCCACAAUUGACACCUCGUCUGUCACCACCUCUCUGCCUGGGUGACUACAGUGGUGGCCCCCUCCCUGCCCUCCAAGUGCCCACGCUUGCCCCUACAGUCUGUUCCCAACACAGCAGCCAGAGAGACCAUCUUGCAAUAAAAGUGCCCAAAUCAUAAGCAGACAUCUCAUUGGAUUUACUGAGCACACCCAGGUAUCCACCACCCAAGGGAAGCAACGAAGGUGACCCCACCCAGCAUUUACCCUGUGUCCCUAUCUUGGACAUUGAUUCUGCUCCAGAGGUCACAAUCUCAUGCCGCCAAUUGCCAUAGAUUCGUUUUGCUUGGUCUUAAACUUUAUAUAAAUGAAAAUUCAACUUUAUGCUGUCUACAAGAGGCAUACUAACUCAUAAAAAUUAAAAGACUGACCCAGAAAACACAGCAAAAAGAAAAAUAUCACGAAAUGAUUGUCAGUCCAAUUAAAAUUCAAGACUGGAAGAAUUCAUGGGUCAGAGAAGGCAGGCUAGGCUGGCCCACUUUAGCCUAAAUCCCGGGAUCCAGCAAGCAUUCAUCUCACAUAGCUCGGGUUUUACUGAGUUGGUUCCUCUGCCUGCUUCUCUGACUUGUUUACCCGUGGAGUACACGAGAACUACAACCCCCAGCAUGCACUGCGCAUCUCUUUCUUCCAUUCACACAUCUGCUUUCUCUUCCAGAACAGCUGGUACAAGUGGAUCUGCUCGGCACCUAUAACCUAAUUACCUCUCAGGCUCACACAAGUCUCUGGCCGCUAAGCGAAUGAUCUCCCAAAGGGAUUAUUCUCAAGCAGCACAGAAACUGUCCCUAUGCCUCAGGUGGCCCCAGAACUCUUUCGUACUAGAGACUUAUCUGUUAAUAAAGUUAACAAAGGAAAGUGGCCUUCCAAGAAUGUUUGUUUGGGCCACUACCUGGAAGAAAUAACACUUGACCAUGAGAGACUUGGCUGAGCAGUGCUGGGUCAGCUUAACCAAAGAAGACCAGCCAUCACCCACGGCAAGAGCAGCUCUGACUUGGACCCACUGUUCCCCCAGCCUGUUAGCAGCCUGUGAACAAUCUUUAAGUGACCCCUGGCCCUGUCACAUCUCCAUUCAACAGGGUUCUUGGGGAGGAUGUGUGGACCGAGAACAGUGCCCACCCACACCACCUGUAAGUGUGGCCACGGCAGCCAGCCAGCAUGGAUGCUAAGUAACAAGUGGUAUUGGGGCACAGAUGUGGCGGGAGCGCUUUGGGGCAAAGAAAGAGGUGCUGUGAGUGAGGACAGAAAGGAAGGGGAAAAAAAAGCCUCAUGGGUUAGAGCGCCUCUCACCUUUGGCUCUUCUUCAGAAGACUGGUAAAAGAAAACAAGAAGAGAAAUUGGUUUCCCUGACUUCUCUAAAGCAAGCGUUCUUCAGAAAAGAGAAUCGAUCAGCCUGGUUAAAGUGGAUAAACUAUGUGAUGUCCAUCCAGAGAGGUGUCUAUUAAUGGCUGUAAAAUGGAAAGAUGAAUCAAUGGGACCGAUUAAUAUUUAUGAAGAGUUGAACUAGGCAGAGUGAAAAAGCCUUGUAUAUUGGAUAAGAAAGGAAAAGCAUUGCACACCAUAGGAUGCGUUUGUUUGGCUAAGGUUUCUGUUUUGAUCACUGGGUAAUUGUAUAGAGCAGGGGCGUAUGGUAGAGAAAGAAAAUCUAUAUCUAGAAGUUAUUGACUUUAUGUACAAAAGCACUGGUUGGUGCCUAUUUUUGAGGACCACUCCAUCUUAAAAAUAACUUUGGUUUUGUACGGCCUAGUUGUGGUGGAAAAGGAGCUCCAAAGAGUAAGCAAGUUUCCUACAAAAAGAAUCCAAGCUGUUGAAACUACAAUUAAGAAAUGCAAAGAGUUACUAAUUUUACUACUUAGAGGAAAGGAAAUUCACAAGCAGGAAAGAAACUGUGGAUCAGGGCAAGUUGUAACUCUAGAGGUUCAGAGAUAGGAGCUCUAAUUACACCAGGGCAAGGGAGUACUGUUUGGGGAAAUUUCUGAAACAUGAAAUAGGAAAGCUGAGGGUCAAAAUGAUAUUGUGAUGUGAAUAAAUAGAGAAGACAUGUUUGCAUGGAGCUCAGCUGGGUAAUCAUGGAAAGAAGGAGGGGCGAAGGAGGAAACUGAAAAUCGAAAUAAAGAACAGAAGCACAGACCAUGAAAUAUGCCAAAUAUAGUGUGCAAAUACUCAGAAGGCAUGGAAAGAUAAGUUAGAAGCCAAAACUCAGUUAUCACUAUCGUGUGAAGGAACAAUAAAACUCUUAGCAAAAACAAAUGACUUAGCAUGAGACCAAUACUGCUUUCCUUAGGUAGCUUGGUCCAGAGGGAAAAGGCUGAUAUCACUCCCUAUCAAGGGUUUUUAGACGGUUUAAGUGAGCUCUGCAAGUGGGAGACACGGUGAUGAUUAUUGACAGUUGCUAUCUUUCAAGGGGGAGAAGCAAACUGAUGUUACACAUUAGAAUUAGUUAGCACCACCGAACACAGGUUACAAAAAUACUGGGAGGAAUUCUCUCUCCUGAGCACAUUACGCAAUAUUUGCAAAUGUGUGCAGGUAAGUGUUGACUCUCUCAUCAUGCUGGACCUGGAAAUGGUUCUCAGCAAAUCAUGGCAUGAUUUCUUUUUCAAAGUUGGGUACACGAAUAUUAUCGUAACCAGCUAAGAGCAGGGAGACGUGGCAUGGGAGACUAACAGAUAGUGCAGCUUUUAAGAGAAGACGUAGAAAUCAAUCUAGUAACAAAUAUUUAUUAAGCAUUGGAGUGUGCUAGGCACCAAGAGAAAAGAAACCUCCACAGCUGAUAAAGCCUUUCAAAAUAAUGUCCUCAGUUAAUUUGCACAUUUCCAUGAGGUAGGUGUUGUUAGCCAUUUCCGUUAAUGAGAAAAAAAAAAAUGAGAUUCAGAAAGGUUAAUUAAAUUGGAGAUCUCCUGAUUUUUUAGUUUUAUAUCCUUCCCGUGUCCUUUCCAGGCUUAUAUUCUGGUCCUAUCACUUCUCAGCUGAGUUACUUCAACAAGUUAUUUAUUCUCUGUGUUCCCAGCUGUCAAAAUGAAAAUGCCAGUACCCACCUGGUAAGGAGUGAGAGAACAUUUAUAAAAAUGCUCGGCUGGGUACCUGACACAUAGGAGGUCCUCAGUAAAUUUGUUUUCUCCCUUUCUUCCUGAAGUACGGUGGCAGAGGGAUUCAGCCAGCCAGCCUGGGUAGCACAAGCCAUGAUGCCCUGCUGAAUCUGUGUUCUAGGGUCGGACAGGGGGAGUCCUUUUGCCUAGAGGGAUGGUGUGCGAGGCCUAAGAGGACUUGGGCAGAGUCUUGAAGGACGAGCAGGAUUUGCUGUGGUGGAGAGGUGGUCACGGGUUGAGCAGAUAGGAGAACCAAGGAAUCAAGGCAGGGAAAGAGAGGGGAUGCAUGUGAAGGGCCAGGAGCUGUUAACUAGUUUGCUAAGCAGCAGGCGAGGAUUUAGAAGGAGUUGGAGAAGUGUGGAGGGAGCUGAGGCUCUUGUGAGGGGAACUUUUAUGCUAAGGGUUCCAACUUGGCCCUGUGAAUGAAGGUGAGCUGGGGAAGGUUUGUGAACUUGGAGUCUCACCUGUAAAAGAUUAAUCUGGUGCCAGUGUACAGAAUGGACCGUCAAGGAAGAGGUGGAAAAACAAGGAAAAUUUGUAUUUUAUAGACACACACACACAUAGACACAGAGCCCUUUUUAUUAGAAAACAUAUAAUCAACUUAACCCCAUUUUAAAUGGCUUGGACAUUAAUUUUACUCUUGUAAUUGAUUAUAGAGGUUUAAAACUGUUGUGUUUUUGCCUUUGUGACAUAUUAUGGCUGUAUCUAAAAUUUAUUUGAUGUUAAAUCAAGAACAAAACUCUUCAAUUCUAUUGUUGUUCCUAAGGUAAAAUAUAAUCUACUUUGAGUCAAUUCACUGUGUCAUAAACUUUCCAGGAAUGGGAAACUUGAUAAAAAGCAGAGACUCACUGCAUAUGACAAUAAUUAAAUCUAUAUUCAACAAGUAUAAAAGAAUGGUUGUAGGGGUGAGCAAUUUGGAAGAAAAAAAGCCACUUGACUUAAAUAUGACAGAAAAUCAUACUGAGGUCUGACACCCCAUGACCUUUUUUGAGAUUUGAGGUUAUGCCAUGUAUUUGAGAAUAAAUAAAAUCCAUUUAAGUGUCUAUAUUAUUAAAUGAAUCGUAUUUUCAGAAAGCAUUAGAUAAAGUCUGUUUUAGACCUUGGAAUCCAUUUUUCUCAUGAACACAAUAUCGUAAAUAGAUGAGAAUUGAGUUCCCAGUCUAUAAAACCCUUAUUAAAUCAUCAUGUAGCUGAACUAUUCUAUAUUGGCAAUCAAUAGAGUUGAGUAAUCUUUUCAUAGUCACAGUGAUAAAAAAACAAAAAAUAUUGAAGAAGUAAUUUUUCAAAAAAUAGAGGUAUAGCACGUUUAAUUAUGGAUUAAGAGGCCGAUAAAUAAUUUUGUGGUGAUUCUGAAGAGACUAUCUGGGCACUUUCAAAAGCUUUAGAGUUGAUAAACUGUUCUUAUUAUGUCUAAUUUAAUAUUCAAAAUUUAUGACCAUUCAUUCAUUCAUCAAACAUAACUUAGAUAUCUACAAUAGGUAUUGUGCUAGCCGCUGGAGAUUUCAAUGUAAUGAAACAGUUCCUAACUUAAAGAAAAGCAGCACUUGAAAUUUUACUAAUGCAUUCAGUCAUUUACUUAACAGAUACUGAAUGUUUGCUACCGUGAGUCUAUUAUUCCUAUGCGUAUCAACUCCCAGGAAGCAUGUGUAGCUCGCUGAUGGAAUACAGAGAAAUAUUCCUGAGAGAAUACCAAAAAUAGUCCGUUUGUGCUACUAAAACAAAAUGGCUGAGACCGAGUAGCUAGCUUAUAAAGAACAGAAAGCUAUUUUCUCACAGUUCUGGAGGCUGGGAAGUCCAAGAUAAAAGCACCAACGGGUUUGGUUGUCUGGCAAAGGCUUCUCUCUGUUUCCAAGAUGGUGCCUUGUUGCUGUGUCCUCCAGAGGGAAGGAAUGCUGUGUCUUCACAUGGCAGAAGGCUGAAGGGCAAGUGAGCUAACACUGUGUGAAGCUUAUUUUAUAAGGACCUUAAUCCCAUUCAAGAGGGAG
rnacentral:lncRNA from 1 species